GCCGCUGUGGCUUAGAGGUAGAGCAGCUGAUUCGUAAUCAGCGGGUCGGGGGUUCGAAUCCCUCCAGCGGCU
rnacentral:tRNA from 1 species